rnacentral:rRNA from 1 species
CUGCAAUAUGUGCCGUGCGUGGCUGUCAUACGUGGGGGGCUAGCGGUGGCCGGGAGUAGUGGUCGUAAAGAGCGUUUAGGCGUGUUUUCGGCUGUGGGGGGAAAAUCCGGGGCUCAACGCCGGACUUGUGGGGGGUACGGGCAGACUAGAGGAUGGUAGGGGAGACUGGAAUUCCUUGUGUGGCGGUGAAAUGCGCAGAUAUCAGGAGGAACACCGAUGGCGAAGGCAGGUCUCUGGGCCACUACUGACGCUGAGAAGCGAAAGCAUGGGGAGCGAACAGGAUUAGAUACCCCAGUAGUC